CUGGUCCUCUACAUCCGAUAAAAGCAAGGUCUCUGUUAAUAAUAAAAAUCAAAGCUGCUUGUUCUAGUUCUAGGUAUCUCGAUCGGUGUGAGUAUGUCAACACAAAACUAUUUAUUUGAAAUACAGAAUCAUUGCUUCUGAGUGAUGGGUUCUUACCUGAUUUUUUUUUCCAUCAGUGUUUGAUUAUUAGUUAAAAACUAUGGAAAUCAUUAGACUUCCCCAAGUCUGAGGUGUAGAAGAAGAAAACAUUUUUUCCAUGGCGAUUUCAGUAUCACAACAUCUCUGGUGAAAGCAAUCAACUUGGAGGAAUUGAAUCUGAAGCCUCCUGAAUCAAACCUCAAUCAAUGAGGAAGAGAGGCAUGUUGUUUGGUAAGGAAAGUAAGGAAGAGUCGCAGUUGGGAAUUUUUGACCGGGUAAUCAGAUAUCUAUCCUGGGAGAUGCUUAAAGUGAAGCAACAACGGGAACAUUGGGAAAGCGCUAGUUUGUUGGAAAGGUCAUACCAUCGGCCUCUCCAACAGACACUCGACGUACGUUUUCACCGCCACUAACUAUACUGCUGACACCAACAACAACUAGAUGAACAAGACAACAUCCUUGCCUCGCAAAUGGCUAAACCGUGUGGUCCAAGCGCCUUUAUCAUCAAUCAUCUUGCAAAACCGGAGUCUACUGCUCGACUGUUGAUGUAUUCAGGUUAUCAGUAUGGUAAGCGGAUGAGCACAAGGUAGUGGCGCGCUAGCAGUCUAGCCUAACUAUGAUGUCAUUAGGAAGCACGCUGACUAUUGUCACAACUAGGCACCGAUUGCUCAUUAACAACAUUCAAGAUAAACCAGCCCCUUGAAGUCUCAGCCGAUGGGCGGUUACCUAUGUCCAGAGAAACGGGCAUCUCCCUGGGAUGUAAGCAUUUUCUAAUCCCUCAAGUUUGAUUCAUUUAAAGAGUACCACUUAGAUAUACCUAGCCUUGCAUAUAUAUAUAUAUAUGCAAGUUCCUGGCCCUUAUAGCGAAUCUGCAACAUUUUCUCAUGCUUGAAUCAUUUACUUGCACAUGUUAGUGGGUCGUCACUUGGUUUAUUAAUGUGCAGUCUUGCCAAAGUGUUCCAACACAUGAUCUUACAUUGAUUAAGAAUUGAUAAUUUUAGUUAAUACUUCCACCUCU